AACGAACGCUGGCGGCAUGCCUAACACAUGCCAGUCGAACGAGACCUUCGGGUCUAGUGGCGCACGGGUGCGUAACGCGUGGGAACCUGCCCUUAGGUUCGGAAUAACUCCCCGAAAGGGGUGCUAAUACCGGAUAAUGUCUUCGGACCAAAGAUUUAUCGCCUUUGGAUGGGCCCGCGUUGGAUUAGCUAGUUGGUAGGGUAAAAGCCUACCAAGGCGACGAUCCAUAGCUGGUCUGAGAGGAUGAUCAGCCACACUGGGACUGAGACACGGCCCAGACUCCUACGGGAGGCAGCAGUGGGGAAUAUUGGACAAUGGGUGAAAGCCUGAUCCAGCAAUGCCGCGUGAGUGAUGAAGGCCUUAGGGUUGUAAAGCUCUUUUACCCGGGAUGAUAAUGACAGUACCGGGAGAAUAAGCGCCGGCUAACUCCGUG
rnacentral:rRNA from 1 species